AAAGGGCUUGGCGGUGCUUUAGACCACUUAGGGGAACCUGUCUCAUAAUCGACAAUCCACGAGAUACCCUACCUUUACUUGCUUUCAGUAUGUAUACCGUCGUCGGCAGGUAACUUUUAAGAAAUAAGAAGUUAGCAAAAUAAGACAAUAUAGUUCAAUUAUCUACUACGUCAGAUCAUGGUGCAGCUAAUGUAAAGGAGAGGAUGGGUUACAAUUAAAAUUCAUAACUACGAAAGAGAACAAGAAUUAUUUUCUCGGAAGGAGGACUUAAAAGUAAAUGUAAUUAGAUAAAUUCAUUGAAUAAGGCUCUGAAGCGUGC
rnacentral:rRNA from 1 species